rnacentral:rRNA from 1 species
UGAUGGCAUCGGCGGCAUGGGGUUGGCCCUGGGACACCUUGUUGAUCCGUUCGGCCGGGAUGCCGUUGGCACAAAGAUGGGACCAUGUGCCGUCGGUGGCCAGGAUAUCGAACCGCAAAUCGGAGAAUUGCCUGGCCACAGCCAGAAUGGCCGCCUUGUCUUCGUCACCCACACUGAUGAAGACCGUUCCGGACAAGGGCAGGCGCUGACCCGCCCCCAGCUGCGCCUUGGCAUAGGCCAGGCCGAAAUCGGUCCCGAUGCCCAUCACUUCUCCGGUGGACUUCAUCUCAGGUCCCAACAGAGUAUCCACAUCCGGAAAGCGAUCAAAGGGAAGCACCGCCUCCUUCACCGACUGGUGACGGGGGACCACCUCUUCGGUGAGUCCCAGUUCGGCAAGGGUUUUCCCCAGCAUGACCUGGGUGGCCAGCUUGGCCAGGGGAAUCCCAGUGGCCUUGCUGACGAAUGGAAUGG